GAUGAACGCUGGCGGCGUGCUUAACACAUGCAAGUCGAACGGUGAAGGCGGAGCUUGCUCUGCUGGAUCAGUGGCGAACGGGUGAGUAACACGUGAGCAAUCUGCCCCUGACUCUGGGAUAAGCGCUGGAAACGGCGUCUAAUACUGGAUACGAGCUGCGAAGGCAUCUUCAGCAGCUGGAAAGAAUUUCGGUCAGGGAUGAGCUCGCGGCCUAUCAGCUUGUUGGUGAGGUAAUGGCUCACCAAGGCGUCGACGGGUAGCCGGCCUGAGAGGGUGACCGGCCACACUGGGACUGAGACACGGCCCAGACUCCUACGGGAGGCAGCAGUGGGGAAUAUUGCCCAAUGGGCGAAAGCCUGAUGCAGCAACGCCGCGUGAGGGACGACGGCCUUCGGGUUGUAAACCUCUUUUAGCAGGGAAGAAGCGAAAGUGACGGUACCUGCAGAAAAAGCGCCGGCUAACUACGUG
rnacentral:rRNA from 1 species